CUCAUCGAUUCGUCCAAAUCCAUUAGUUGGCGGUCAAUGUCCGAUUCCUCUCCGCUUGACAUUCCUCCACGAUCACUGUUGGACUCAUUUCUAACUUCUAAAGCUCCUAAAACAUCUUCAGCACUGAAGCGACUCCUCUUAGAACAGGUCGCCAUUGCGUAAACUGAAGGUCAAGUUGCAUGACACGCUACUUUUAGCAAAGGUUCACAAAAAGGCAGCCAAUCACUGCGUUUG